UUGGUUUAUGCAUAUAAACUGCUUAUAUGGUUUAAAUUUGAUAGAGAAUAGUAUUGCGAAAGAAAGAAAAAAUAUGAAUAUCCUUCUACAUUUAUGUAUGAGAUUUGAAUUUUAAUACAAUAAACAAAUAAAUUGAAUUUUUAUUGUACCUUUGGUAUAAUGGAUUAGCGAGUUAAUUUUGAAAGCAAGCGUAAGCGUAAAAAAAUUAUUAUAGUUUUUAAAAUUAUACCCGAAACUAAGUGAUCUAAUAAUGAACAAGUAUUAGACUGAACUCAUAAAUGUUGCAAAAUUUUAGUAGAUGAUUUGUUAUUAGGGGUGAAAGGCUUAUCAAACUUAGUGAUAGCUGGUUCUUCACGAAAUCUAUUUUAGUAGAGUUGUUGUUUGCAGUUAAAUCAGGUAGUGUUAAAUAAAAAAAUUAGCGAGGUUUAAUUA
rnacentral:rRNA from 1 species